AUACCUGGAAAGCCCUGAAAAUACUGAACUUAAUGAAUUCAACAAAAUCGUUUUCCUGUAUCGUGUCGUUCCUAAAGUAGCGAAAGGCAGUUACGGACUUCACGUAGCGAAACUGGCGGGGAUAAACGACAUAAUAUUACGCACGGCUGCAAGGAAAUCAAAAGAAAUGAAACAAAAAGUAGAAUCGGUUAAUGAAUCUAAAAAGGAAAAUGAAAUAAAAUUUAGGCAAAUUAUGAAAAUAGUAAAAAAUUGC